GUUUCCAAAUCAGUCAGCUGAGCUGAUUUUCUAUUUCCUAUGCCUCUUUCAACAUGUUCUUCAUCAUCAAUGUUCAAUUUAUGCUUUUUCACCUGUGGGUGAUAAAUACCGUUCUAUGGUUGUUUCAAGCUGAUGAUUCCAGCUUGUAUAAGUGAAAUCUUCAGUAUGCUUCCAUGGUUUUUGGUACUGACAUGCUGGAUCAUAUUUUCUAGCCCUUAAUUUCUUCUUCUAUUAUAGCUGGGAUGGAGAUAACGGGAAGCUAAGACCCAUUGAUAGUUGAAUAAUACCAAGGAGCUCAGCCAAUUGAAUCUGAUCUGACUUGGUGACCCCCAACUUAUUGAAAAUCCCUUUUUGUAGGCCGGAGUAAGUAGGUAAAAUAGCAUUUUCACCUUAAUGUUGAACUCCCUUUAUUGUAUAUUUGGUGAAUAUGUAAGAAACUAUUGUGGCCUUUCCAGUCUUGUUAGCUCUUUGUUAUGCUUAGUCUCAGAUAGGGACAUUGGUACUUGUCACUGUUAAGUAUCCUUCUCCCAGCACUAGGUAGCUGGUUAAAAGCUGUAAAUAUGAACUAUUCAUGCUGAAAAGCUAAGUUAGCUAAGUAAUCUGCAAGUUG